rnacentral:lncRNA from 1 species
AAAUAAAAGAAAUUGAUUUGACGAUGCAUUUGUAACUAUAGUCGCCGUCACGUAAAAUUGACACCAUGUUUUGGUCAAAAUUUUCUUAAAUAUCGACCGCGUUUACCAAAGAUCAUGUUUUUCAAUUAGCGGGAAAAAAAUCCUGUCCAUAUACACUACUGUCCUACCUUUUAUUGUGUUUGCAAUGUAUAAUCUUGACCUUCACAAAAUCCAAGAUUAUUUUGUAUGGUGGAAUCUGACAUUUUCGUGUGUCUCUCGGAGCUUUUCAUCAUCUUUAUGUAAAAAGCGCGGGAAAAUGUCAAUGACAAUGAUAUUACCGGAGAGUAACAAAUGUUAUAGAAUAAGGGAUCCUCAUGUAAAUAAUCUUGAAAAAUGUGAAGGUCAGGAUUAUACAGUGCAAACACAAUAAAAGGUAUGACAGUAGAGGAUAUUUGGACAGGAUUUUACUUCCGCUAAAUGAAAAACAUCAUCUCGAGUGAACGCGGCUGAUUUUUGAUUUUUUUUUUUUUUUUUUGACAAAAAACAUAGGGUCAAUUUUAGAACUAAAUUAAAGUUGCAGAAUUUCAUUGAAGAAAUAUAUUUCAAAGAACAUUUUAGAGUCGUUUAUAUCCGAAUAUUGUUAACGC